UGGGGAAUAUUGGACAAUGGGCGCAAGCCUGAUCCAGCAAUGCCGCGUGAGUGAUGAAGGCCUUCGGGUUGUAAAGCUCUUUUGCCUGUGACGAUGAUGACGGUAACAGGCGAAUAAGCCCCGGCUAACUUCGUGCCAGCAGCCGCGGUAAUACGAAGGGGGCUAGCGUUGUUCGGAAUUACUGGGCGUAAAGGGCGCGUAGGCGGCCCUAUCAGUCAGGCGUGAAAGCCCUGGGCUUAACCUGGGAACUGCGCUUGAUACUGUAGGGCUUGAGGACGGGAGAGGAUGGUGGAAUUCCCAGUGUAGAGGUGAAAUUCGUAGAUAUUGGGAAGAACACCGGUGGCGAAGGCGACCAUCUGGACCGGACCUGACGCUGAGGCGCGAAAGCGUGGGGAGCAAACA
rnacentral:rRNA from 1 species